rnacentral:lncRNA from 1 species
CAGUACAACUGAGCCGGAUCCUCUUUUAGAAGCUGUAUGUGUGACGUAAGUAUGUGAAGAUGCGUGACGUGGCCAGAAGAACUCCUGUGAAAAGCAACCCGACAGCCCAGUUUUAAGAAUGAAUAUAUUAAGCUUAGACACAAUAUUUUGUCCCUUCUCCACUCAGUAAUGCUUCUGCUUUCAGUUUAAAGACAAAAUAAUAUGAAAAGCCACUUUAACCAAGUAACCCUCUCUGCAGUCAAAUAUAUCUUUAUUUCAGCGUCCAGGUCAAGCUAGGCGUACAAUGUUACACUGUAAUGUUAUGCAAUAUGUAAAGCUUCCUUAGAUGCUGUUGUGUAAAAUGCUAGCUAUUUUGUGGCUUAGGAAUAUUGUAACUUCAGCUGAAUGAUGUUUAAAUUUUGCCUGGUUUGUUUUGCAGUGCGAACAGCUGCAGCUGAAACUGAUUCAGGAGAAAGAUCUUAACGACAAGUUGGAGUGUGAGAAAGUCAUCCUGGAGAGACAGAUCCGAGAGCUGAACAGUGAGAUUGAAGAGAUGCAGAAUAACAAAGUUCAUGAACAUGUGAUCACGAAAGCAGAGACCAGAGCUAAAGAGCUGGAGAACGCACUCAGAGCUGAGGAGAGGAGUAAAGUGGCACUAAACAACACCAUCAGUAAGCUGGAGAGGAAGAUCAGCGAGCUGACUGAACAGCUGGAUGAGGAGCACAGGAUCUCCAACGAGCACAAAGAUCUGAUGACUCAGCGAAUGCGUUCCCUGAAGAGGCAGCUGAACGAGGCAGAGGAGCAGACAAGUCGCAGAGAGAGUCAGUACCGACACACACAGAGAGAGCUGACCGAGGAGAGAGAGGCCAGUGCUCGCUUACAGAAACAACUACUGGACAUUCAGCUGCUGAUGAAGCGGAAGGACUCAAUUAUGGUGAGGCAGACUCUGGAUAACCUCAAACUGGACCUGAGUGUGGACGAAGAGGAUGAGCCUGAACCCACACAGACCAGCUCAGUCCAGAACUGAGAUCAGUAGAGACUUUUUAGCCUAGAACCAAUGAAUGUACGACAGCCGGCUUCAGCUUACUCCAGGAAGCCCACGGAGACUCUGUGGAAAUACAGACUGCAGUAAAUUUACAGGAUACACACCUAAAAUUGAUGGAGAUUCUUCUCCAAAGAAAAAAAAACAGAAUACUGUUGCCCACAUAAGCCUGGAGAACAUGAGAAAAACACCACUUCAGAAACCCAUUAGAGACCCUAACCACUGUCACACCAGAGUGUUUAUGACAUUUUUUAAAAAGCAAGGUCUUUUUUAUUUGCCAGGAUGUGCAUGUAGCAAUCUUUUGGGGUGACAGAUUGGGUUCACUUGGGGGAUUAUUAUUAUUUUUAUACAUAAAUAUAUAAUAGACUUUUAAAUGUACAGUGUUUGAAGUACAAAUAAGCUUACUUGGUACAGAUAAUGUCAACUCAAAGGUUUUUAUGCAGGUGGAAGGUAAAAUAUUUCUCUUACACUUACCAU